rnacentral:rRNA from 1 species
UCUCCUGGGAAACGGGUGGUAAUGCCGGAUGCUCCAGUUGAUCGCAUGGUCUUCUGGGAAAGCUUUCGCGGUAUGGGAUGGGGUCGCGUCCUAUCAGCUUGACGGCGGGGUAACGGCCCACCGUGGCUUCGACGGGUAGCCGGCCUGAGAGGGCGACCGGCCACAUUGGGACUGAGAUACGGCCCAGACUCCUACGGGAGGCAGCAGUGGGGAAUAUUGCACAAUGGGCGCAAGCCUGAUGCAGCGACGCCGCGUGAGGGAUGGAGGCCUUCGGGUUGUAAACCUCUUUUAUCGGGGAGCAAGCGAGAGUGAGUUUACCCGUUGAAUAAGCACCGGCUAACUACGUGCCAGCAGCCGCGGUAAUACGUAGGGUGCAAGCGUUAUCCGGAAUUAUUGGGCGUAAAGGGCUCGUAGGCGGUUCGUCGCGUCCGGUGUGAAAGUCCAUCGCUUAACGGUGGAUCCGCGCCGGGUACGGGCGGGCUUGAGUGCGGUAGGGGAGACUGGAAUUCCCGGUGUAACGGUGGAAUGUGUAGAUAUCGGGAAAGAAACACCA